rnacentral:lncRNA from 1 species
AGUCGGGGGUGGACGCGGCUGCGGCGGUGGCGUCGCGACGCGCUCGCACCUGGAGCGCUGCGUGGAGCGAGCGUCGCGGUCGUCGGCGGCGGCAGUCUUGAUCCACCGUCGCUCGAGGCUGUCGGCCUACCCUCGAGCCCGCAACAACCCUCGGCGUCGUCCGCGCGAAAUCAACCCCAAGUGAUCCACUCUCCUUCGAGUGUGUCGAGUCGGCUGCCGGUCUUCCGCUCGCUAAUCGCACGUGGUCGAAAUCGAAAGUUGUUUCUUCGGGUCGGUUCCCUUUCAUUAAGUGCGGUACUUUAGUGCAAGUUCGUCGAAUAUUGCUUCUUUGUACCGCUCAACGGAAUAUUGUUUUUCGGAACUUGUUUGUUUUUUAUCGCUUCCACGGUAGACCUCCUGAAAAGGGAGCUCUCUACGCACCGCGUGCAAUAGAUCGAAAUAUCUCAGCAGUGACAUCAUUAUGAUACUACGAAAAUCGUGAAAAAAUCUUCCACCGGAAGUUGUGUGCCGCGAGUGCGAUAAAAUCCGGAACUGUGCGGAACCAGGAUGAAUCCCUUCGGGCAAUCGGUAAAACAAUGAGUGCCGAAAAAUUGAACAUGAACUGGUGGAUUGAGUGAAGCUCGAAGUCGAAGUAUGAGGUCCGGGGUUUGAGCCUGGCGCGGUGUCGAGGAAGUGGUAGCUCUUGAGUGAGGAGCAAGGAAGGAGUGGGUCAGCGAGUGAGCCAUGGAGACGGUGGCGCGGAUGGCCAGGAAGCUGACCCCCAUCCUCCAGUCGUCGGACGACUCGCACGAGGAUCAAGCCGCCCAAACCCAUAACGACGCCUCCAAGAGGUGUUAUUCCGAAAGGUAAAUCUAACCUAUUUAAAUACUUGGUGUCAUUCCCAUCCAGAGACCAGAGAUCCUCCAAUGGUCUCUUGGCGACAGGUGGAAGCUUUUACUUUCAGGGAAUCAACACUUCCUUAUGGAGAAUUAUAAGGGAGCAACAGUCAUCUUCCCUACUAGGUGAAUGAUGAGCUUCGGUUGACGUCAUGAGCUAAAAUAAUUUCCCAAACUUCGGU